rnacentral:misc_RNA from 1 species
UCCUCCUUACAGAGGCAGUUUUGUCCGAGUUCCCGACAUUACUCGCUGGCAACAGACAAUGAGGGUUGCGCUCGUUGCGGGACUUAACCCAACAUUUCACAACACGAGCUGACGACAGCCAUGCACCACCUGUGUAACACCCUCGAAGGCGACUCCGUUUCGGGAGCUUGCAGUUACAUGUCAAGCCCUGGUAAGGUUCUUCGCGUUGCAUCGAAUUAAGCCACAUGCUCCACCGCUUGUGCGGUCCCCCGCCAACUCCUUUGAGUUUCAACCUUGCGGCCGUAGUCCCCAGGCGGUUCACUCGGGCGCCCUUUGGGCAGGACGUUAGCUGCGGCACCGGAGGUUACCCCCCGACACCUAGUGAACAUCGUUUAGGGCGUGGACUAC